GACGAACGCUGGCGGCGUGCUUAACACAUGCAAGUCGAACGAAGAGCGAUGGAAGCUUGCUUCUAUCAAUCUUAGUGGCGAACGGGUGAGUAACGCGUAAUCAACCUGCCCUUCAGAGGGGGACAACAGUUGGAAACGACUGCUAAUACCGCAUACGAUCUAACCUCGGCAUCGAGGAUAGAUGAAAGGUGGCCUCUACAUGUAAGCUAUCACUGAAGGAGGGGAUUGCGUCUGAUUAGCUAGUUGGAGGGGUAACGGCCCACCAAGGCGAUGAUCAGUAGCCGGUCUGAGAGGAUGAACGGCCACAUUGGGACUGAGACACGGCCCAGACUCCUACGGGAGGCAGCAGUGGGGAAUCUUCCGCAAUGGACGAAAGUCUGACGGAGCAACGCCGCGUGAGUGAUGACGGCCUUCGGGUUGUAAAGCUCUGUUAAUCGGGACGAAAGGCCUUCUUGCGAAUAGUUAGAAGGAUUGACGGUACCGGAAUAGAAAGCCACGGCUAACUACGUGCCAGCAGCCGCGGUAAUACGUAGGUGGCAAGCGUUGUCCGGAAUUAUUGGGCGUAAAGCGCGCGCAGGCGGAUAGGUCAGUCUGUCUUAAAAGUUCGGGGCUUAACCCCGUGAUGGGAUGGAAACUGCCAAUCUAGAGUAUCGGAGAGGAAAGUGGAAUUCCUAGUGUAGCGGUGAAAUGCGUAGAUAUUAGGAAGAACACCAGUGGCGAAGGCGACUUUCUGGACGAAAACUGACGCUGAGGCGCGAAAGCCAGGGGAGCGAACGGGAUUAGAUACCCCGGUAGUCCUGGCCGUAAACGAUGGGUACCAGGUGUAGGAGGUAUCGACCCCUUCUGUGCCGGAGUUAACGCAAUAAGUACCCCGCCUGGGGAGUACGACCGCAAGGUUGAAACUCAAAGGAAUUGACGGGGGCCCGCACAAGCGGUGGAGUAUGUGGUUUAAUUCGACGCAACGCGAAGAACCUUACCAGGUCUUGACAUUGAUGGAUAGAACCAGAGAUGGUUCCUCUUCUUCGGAAGCCAGAAAACAGGUGGUGCACGGUUGUCGUCAGCUCGUGUCGUGAGAUGUUGGGCUAAGUCCCGCAACGAGCGCAACCCCUAUCUUAUGUUGCCAGCACGUAAAGGUGGGAACUCAUGAGAGACUGCCGCAGACAAUGCGGAGGAAGGCGGGGAUGACGUCAAAUCAUCAUGCCCCUUAUGACCUGGGCUACACACGUACUACAAUGGGAGUUAAUAGACGGAAGCGAGAUCGCGAGAUGGAGCAAACCCGAGAAACACUCUCUCAGUUCGGAUCGUAGGCUGCAACUCGCCUACGUGAAGUCGGAAUCGCUAGUAAUCGCAGGUCAGCAUACUGCGGUGAAUACGUUCCCGGGCCUUGUAUACACCGCCCGUCACACCACGAAAGUCGGAAGUGCCCAAAGCCGGUGGGGUAACCUUCGGGAGCCAGCCGUCUAAGGUAAAGUC
rnacentral:rRNA from 1 species